CAGGCCAUUCUGGAGUACCUCCUGCACCUCAAGCAGCAAGGGCUAGCCUCGUCCUCACUCAGAGUGUACCUGGCGGCCAUCUCCGCCUUCCAUCCGGGGUUCUCAGGGGGCUCAGUGUUUUCCCACCCAAUGGUGGGAUGGUUCCUUAAGGGGUUGGAGAGGGUGUUCCCAUAUUCCCGCCCCCCAGUCCCUCCAUGGAACCUUAAUCUGGUCCUUUCUAAACUCAUGGGACCCCCUUUCGAGCCCCUCGCUACCUGUUCUCUCCUCCACCUUUCCUGGAAGGUGGCAUUUCUGGUUGCCAUUACCUCGGCCAGAAGGGUGUCCGAACUGAGGGCCCGCACCUCUGAGCCACUGUACACAGUAUUUCACAAGGACAAGGUGCAGCUCAG